UUUAAGUGCAACCAUAAGUUUCCGUGUCCAAUUUUGAUCGUCCGUCUUAUUUGAAAUUAUUUUUAAUUAAUAUUUUUGUUGUUAUGAGAUGAUAAAACAUGAAUAUUACUUUACUCAUGACAUAUGUUUUUAAUUUUUUAAAAAACAUUUUCAAAUAAGACGAACGGUUAAAGUUGGGCGCGGAAAACUAUAGCUGCACUUAAA
rfam:Oryza sativa Japonica Group DNA, chromosome 6, cultivar: Nipponbare, complete sequence.